CACACAUACUGUAAGAACCUUCACUAGACAUCUAUUAGCAACAGGCAGCAAUGGUCUAGGACAGAGCUGGAGACUAAGUGCCCUUUUCGGCCGGAUUUCAAGCGGUGACACCCACCGUUCCCCUUCCACCGUUCCGCGCUCAGCGGCCGAGGCGACGAUCGCGGAUCGCUGAGGCCCGUCGCAACAUCCUCCUCCUUAGUUAGAAAAAGGGGAUGUUCAGGAUGUAAAGGUUCCGAGCGAUCAACGUGAAACUCCUCUUAUAGUGAACAAGAAUAUAAGUAUAUGUAUAUUUUAAAAGAACUCAAAUACAAUAAUACCGACACCGCAAUUUAUACUAAAUAUAUCGCUUUACAAAGCUUAA